AUUGAACGCUGGCGGCAGGCCUAACACAUGCAAGUCGAACGGUAACAGGAAGAAGCUUGCUUCUUUGCUGACGAGUGGCGGACGGGUGAGUCAUGUCUGGGAAACUGCCUGCUGGAGGGGGAUAACUACUGGAAACGGUAGCUAAUACCGCAUAACGUCGCAAGCCCAAAAAGGGGGACCUUCGGGCCUCUUGCCAUCGGAUGUGCCCAGAUGGGAUUCGCUAGUAGGUGGGGUAACGGCUCACCUAGGCGACGAUCCCUAGCUGGUCUGAGAGGAGGACCGGCCACACUAGAGCUGAGACACGGUCCAGACUCCUACGGGAGGCAGCAGUGGGGAAUAUUGCACAGUGGGCGCAAGCCUGAUGCAGCCAUGCCGCGUGUAUGAAGAAGGCCUUCGGUUUGUAAAGUACUUUCUGCGGGGAGGAAGGGAGUAAAGUUAAUACCUUUGCUCAGUGACGUUACCCGCAAAAGAAGCACCGGCUAACUCCGUG
rnacentral:rRNA from 1 species